GAAACACGGACCAAGGAGUUCAACUGGAAUGCGAGUCAUAGAGUUAUCAAACUCUUUUUUUAACGGCGAAGCGAAAGCAAAAUUUGCGCGAAUCUUAAUUUAUUAAGAUGCAGCGCGGGCUGAUAAUGUAUGCUACGUAGAGCUUGUCUGUGCGUGCACUUACUAAUUUUUAGUAGGAUUUAUCAAGCUAAAGAGCAAUUUAGUUGAGACCCGAAAGAUGGUGAACUAUGCUCGGACAUGGUGAAGCCAGGUGAAAACUUGGUGGAAGCUUGCGUUGUGCGGAACUGACGUGCAAAUCGUUACCGCCUGACCUGAGUAUAGGGGCGAAAGACUCAUCGAACCAUCUAGUAGCUGGUUCCCUCCGAAGUUUCCCUCAGGAUAGCUCGAUAAUAUUUCCGAGUAACACAAGGGUAAAGCAAUGAGACGCGGUAUCUGUGGGUCUUAUUUAAAUGACCUCGGCCUUCUCUCAAACUUUAAAUCUGUGCGAAAACAUAUUUUGUUUACUUAAAAGCAUUUUAAAUGCGUGAAACUAUGUUUCAUAUCUAAUAAUUCGUAGUGGGCCAUUUCUGGUAAGCAGAACUGGCGAUGAGGGAUUCAACCUGACGUUUUCAAGAUAAGCCGGGCUUAAUCAUAUCUGCUCCAACCUUCCGAUAAACGCGA
rnacentral:rRNA from 1 species